GGUUCAAUGGUCUAGUGGUUAUGAUCUCUGUCUUACAAUCUUGUGAGCUACACAGAGGGUCUCCGGUUCGAUCCCGGGUUGAACCA
rfam:Jaapia argillacea MTCL 33604 unplaced genomic scaffold JAAARscaffold_6, whole genome shotgun sequence.